rnacentral:rRNA from 1 species
UACGUAGGUGGCAAGCGUUAUCCGGAUUUACUGGGUGUAAAGGGCGUGUAGGCGGGUCUGCAAGUCAGAUGUGAAAUCUCCGGGCUUAACUCGGAAGUGUCAUCUGAAACUACGGAUCUUGAGUACUGGAGAGGAUAGUGGAAUUCCUAGUGUAGCUGUAAAAUGCGUAGAUAUUAGGAGGAACACCAGUGGCGAAGGCGGCUAUCUGGACAGUAACUGACGCUGAGGCGCGAAAGCGUGGGGAGCAAACAGGAUUAGAUACCCCU